rnacentral:tRNA from 1 species
ACAGUGGUGGUUCAGUGGUAGAGUUCUCAUCUUCCAUGUGGGACACCUGGGUUCAAUUUCCAGCCAACGCA